rnacentral:rRNA from 1 species
AUAUAAUAGUUAAAACUUUCAACAACGGAUCUCUUGGUUCUGGCAUCGAUGAAGAACGCAGCGAAAUGCGAUAAGUAAUGUGAAUUGCAGAAUUCAGUGAAUCAUCGAAUCUUUGAACGCACAUUGCGCCCCCUGGUAUUCCGGGGGGCAUGCCUGUUCGAGCGUCAUUA